GCAGCCAUAGGCAAUGGUGUCUGCCUUGAACCGCCUGGAUACAGCUCAGGAUGAUGGCGCCUGCUCCCAG
rnacentral:ncRNA from 2 species